rnacentral:rRNA from 1 species
UACGUAGGGGGCGAGCGUUGUUCGGAGUUACUGGGCGUAAAGGGCGCGUAGGCGGUGCAACAAGUCAGGCGUGAAAGCCCCGGGCUUAACCUGGGAAUUGCGCUUGAUACUGUUGCGCUAGAGAUCGGGAGAGGAUAGCGGAAUUCCCAGUGUAGAGGUGAAAUUCGUAGAUAUUGGGAAGAACACCGGUGGCGAAGGCGGCUAUCUGGACCGACAUUGACGCUGAGGCGCGAAAGCGUGGGGAGCAAACAGG